rnacentral:rRNA from 1 species
AACGAACGCUGGCGGCAGGCUUAACACAUGCAAGUCGAACGCAUCCUUCGGGGUGAGUGGCAGACGGGUGAGUAACGCGUGGGAACGUGCCCUUCAGUUCGGGAUAACCCAGGGAAACUUGGGCUAAUACCGGAUACGUGCGAGAGCAGAAAGAUUUAUCGCUGAAGGAUCGGCCCGCGUCUGAUUAGCUAGUUGGUGGGGUAAUGGCCCACCAAGGCGACGAUCAGUAGCUGGUCUGAGAGGAUGAUCAGCCACAUUGGGACUGAGACACGGCCCAAACUCCUACGGGAGGCAGCCGUGGGGAAUAUUGGACAAUGGGCGCAAGCCUGAUCCAGCCAUGCCGCGUGAGUGAUGAAGGCCUUAGGGUUGUAAAGCUCUUUCACCGGGGAAGAUAAUGACGGUACCCGGAGAAGAAGCCCCGGCUAACUUCGUGCCAGCCGCCGCCGUAACAC